AUCUGACAGGCAAACAAGUCCACAAAUCCCAGAUUGUUCUCCAAGCAGGGAGUGAGGGAGAAAAGCGAAGGGAGGAGGAGGAGGACGGAUGUCGGGCUGAUAGCAGCUGCGGGUGAAGAUUGAGAGAUAGCAUUGCAGAUGAUGCAGAUCGUCAAAUUCCUCCCCAUCACCCCCUCUGUCUUCUGAAGCACAUCUGCGUGGAGGCCGGCAGGCCGGGACGCCAACAAUGGAGGACAUUCAGCGGCUCAGAUAAACUCUGCUCCCGUUCCCACCGUACCACCAUCACUGCUGUUAUCUCAACACGCUCCCUCACCUCCUCCUUCGCCUUCAUGCUUCUAUAGUGCAUUUUCUCCUCCAAGUCUCACCACCACCUCUGUAUCACUGCUGCUGUUCCCCCUGGACGCUUGAUAAACUACUGCCUGCUCUCCCUUUCACCACAGUCACCCCUGUUAUCACCCUGCUGUUAACCUGCACCAUGAGGGCAUCACCAGAUGUGACGUAUUGCAUUCAUUUUCUUUUUCCUCAGCAUUUUCUUUUGUGCAAAUAGUUUUCUAUCCAGCUGUGAGCCCACACACAACUCCCACCAUCUGAUCAGAGAUCAGCAGCUGGUCAACCAAAGUUCCUGUUGCUCCAAUUCAUUUUAAUCUUUUUUU